rnacentral:lncRNA from 1 species
GUUUGUUUAGGUUUUUUUUUCUCCUAACAUCCAUUCAUAUUUCAAGGUACUGGAAGACAAAAUAUUUUGAUGGCCAUCUUUGCAAAAUAUAUCCCUGAAUGAAUGAGGAAGUAGUAAGUUUAGUUAGUAUUAUAUAAAAAAGUGAAGGCAGUGCAGUGAGCUUUGUUUUCCAUUUUUACCUGUUAUAGAUGUAAAUAAUUCAAACACAUAAGCAUGGAAAGAAGUUGACAGUUUGAAACUGUGACUGCACGAGUCUCGUACAAUAAUGUUAAAGUUUCCUGUGUGCUUUGAUUUGACAUUCUUUAGAAAAAGGUUGUUUUUGCUGAAGUAUAAAUCAAUUAAAAGCUAAUGCUGUUUUUCACUGGGCACCCAUGCUAAGCUACAAUGUUUGUGUAUUUCAUGUGUAUGCUUAUGUAAUUAAGCAUCCACUAGUUUCUUUCUCUUUAGGAAAUACUUAUGCAAAUCAGCACUCCAUAUAUGAAGAGUUAAGAUCAUAUCAUCUCUUGUUUAAGCUAAUCCAAAAGUAAAUGAGGAACUUAGGAAAAGAUUGCCAACUCCAAAUCAACACAGUUACACAGAAUUGAAAAAGAAGCAUACAGCUUCAUUUGAUGGGUUCUUGCAAGGAACUCAGUGUUCUGCGAUAUGAGCUCUGAAAUCUUCAAGCACAAACUGGACUCAAUGCCAGGUCAAACAAGUUCAGGAGAAGAAAUGGAGAACUGGUCAAAAGCAAUAAGGAGUGCUGUUUACCUGGGAAAGAAAGAAGACCUGGAUAUUGCAUGGGCAUGUAUGCAGAAGAAUCUACAUGAUAUGCAGAGAGGCAGAGUCCUCUUCACGCACAUGGCUCAAUUGAUUAGUGUCGGAAUUCCAUGUGUGCUGUGCUUCCAGCAUUGAACUCGCUGUGUGCUGGCUGUCAGAGAUCCCCUUGCAAAGUGGCAAGGGUAGUUGCAGGUUUCUCUGCACAGUAUAGGAGGUAGAAGAGAGGUUCAGAGGAUGAUCUUGCAUGAGUCAAACAUUGGAAGAGUGGCUAGUAACUGUUGAGCAACACUAAGUAUGGAAGAUGAAGAAAACAUUUUGCAUGGAAAAAGAGGGAAUAGUGUGCCGUGACUUUGAAGAUAAAAAGGAGCUAAUGAUAACUGAAAAAUCAUCAAAUACUGUCUGGUCUUUCCUGUAAAUAUAAUCACCCUUUCACGUGUAUAAAUUCUCAUCUGUCCUUUUUCCAUCCCAUUUUUUUCCUUGUACAUUUUGAAUGGUUAAAUACAGUGCAUUUCUCGCCAGGCUGCAUGCAGAAAGACUCCUCAUCAG